GACGAACGCUGGCGGCGUGCUUAACACAUGCAAGUCGAACGGAAAGGCCCUGCUUUUGUGGGGUGCUCGAGUGGCGAACGGGUGAGUAACACGUGAGUAACCUGCCCUUGACUUUGGGAUAACUUCAGGAAACUGGGGCUAAUACCGGAUAGGAGCUCCUGCUGCAUGGUGGGGGUUGGAAAUUUUCGGCGGUUGGGGAUGGACUCGCGGCUUAUCAGCUUGUUGGUUGGGUAGUGGCUUACCAAGGCUUUGACGGGUAGCCGGCCUGAGAGGGUGACCGGCCACAUUGGGACUGAGAUACGGCCCAGACUCCUACGGGAGGCAGCAGUGGGGAAUAUUGCACAAUGGGCGGAAGCCUGAUGCAGCAACGCCGCGUGCGGGAUGACGGCCUUCGGGUUGUAAACAGCUUUCGCCUGUGACGAAGCGUGAGUGACGGUAAUGGGUAAAGAAGCACCGGCUAACUACGUG
rnacentral:rRNA from 1 species